rnacentral:rRNA from 1 species
AUUGAACGCUGGCGGCAUGCCUUACACAUGCAAGUCGAACGGUAACGGGCCUUCGGGUGCCGACGAGUGGCGGACGGGUGAGUAAUACAUCGGAACGUGCCCGAUCGUGGGGGAUAACGAGGCGAAAGCUUUGCUAAUACCGCAUACGAUCUACGGAUGAAAGCAGGGGACCGCAAGGCCUUGCGCGGACGGAGCGGCCGAUGGCAGAUUAGGUAGUUGGUGGGAUAAAAGCUUACCAAGCCGACGAUCUGUAGCUGGUCUGAGAGGAUGAUCAGCCACACUGGGACUGAGACACGGCCCAGACUCCUAAGGGAGGCAGCAGUGGGGAAUGUUGGACAAUGGGCGCAAGCCUGCUCCAGCCAUGCCGCGUGCAGGAUGAAGGCCUUCGGGUUGUAAACUGCUUUUGUACGGAACGAAAAGCCUUCUUUUAAUACAGGAGGGUCAUGACGGUACCGUAAGAAUAAGCACCGGCUAACUACGUG